AAUAAUACCCUGGUAGUCCGCACGGUAAACGAUGGAUGCCCGCUGUGUGCCCCUGGGGUACGUGGCCAAGCGAAAGCGUUAAGCAUCCCACCUGGGGAGUACGCCGGCAACGGUGAAACUCAAAGGAAUUGACGGGGGCCCGCACAAGCGGAGGAACAUGUGGUUUAAUUCGAUGAUACGCGAGGAACCUUACCCGGGCUUGAACUGCAGAGGAAGGUCACAGAGAUGUGUCCGCCCUUCGGGGUCUCUGCGGAGGUGCUGCAUGGUUGUCGUCAGCUCGUGCCGUGAGGUGUCGGCUUAAGUGCCAUAACGAGCGCAACCCCUCUCCUUGGUUGCCAUCGGGUGAUGCCGGGGCACUCCAGGGACACUGCCGCCGUAAGGUGCGAGGAAGGUGGGGAUGACGUCAAAUCAGCACGGCCCUUACGUCCGGGGCUACACACGUGUUACAAUGGGGAGUACAGAAAGUCGGCGGCGCGCAAGCGUCGUCCAAUCCUAAAACCUCCCUCAGUUCGGACUGGGGUCUGCAACCCGACCCACGAAGCUGGAUUCGCU
rnacentral:rRNA from 1 species